rnacentral:rRNA from 1 species
GGGUCAGUAGGCUGGUCGUGCCACCGGUACGUACUGGUCUCACUGAUUCCUCCUUCCUGAAGAACCGUAGUGCCAUUAAUUUAGUGUUGCGGGGAAACAGGACUGUUGCUUUGAAAAAAUUAGAGUGUUUAAAGCAAGCUAACGCUUGAAUACAUUAGCAUGGAAUAAUGAAAUAGGACGAUCGAUCCUAUUUUGUUGGUUUCUAGGAUUGACGUA